UGCAGACAGUUGAUGUCCGGCCACUAGCAGCAUUUAGACGAAAACAUUCAACUCAGCUGCACGAAUUGAGCAGCGUCCAUGGCGUGUUUUUCAACGUGAAUUAUGUCCGGACUGGAACCCAAUCGCGUAUGAACGCUCGUUAAAUAGCAGUCCGGAGGUGGAGGAGGCGGAUUGGACUCCCUUCGGUAAGUUGGCGUCGUUCCCCCCGCGAUGGAGGCUGCUGACGGGACCCGCCAGGACCACCGCAGUGUCGUCCACCACUCGUCGACGCUUGGUUGAGCAACGCAUGUUCGACCCAAACAUUGCGCACUCCUGUCUCCAUUAGUCGACAUCAUCCAGAACUUCUUGGUCGGCUCCAGAGACAGCGAGAAGUUCUAACGGGUGAACGUUAGCCCCCCUGGAGCACGAUGACCAGCAUAGACGUGACCUAAAGAGCCAUUUCGUAUCAUUUGUUUCCCCCCCCAAAAGUAAUUUGUUUUUUCAAUUUUGAAAGAGAACACACAUCCCGUCCUAUCCUCGACCCACCAUGUCAGUCAAAGAGAACCCCUGUAGGAAAUUCCAAGCCAACAUUUUUAAUAAGAGCAAAUGUCAAAAUUGUUUUAAGCCUCGAGAAUCUCACCUGCUCAACGACGAAGACCUCAACCAGGCGAAGCCGAUUUAUGGUGGAUGGUUGCUGCUCGCGCCAGAGGGAACCAAUUUUGACAAUCCCUUACACAGAUCUCGGAAAUGGCAAAGGAGGUUUUUCAUCCUUUACGAGCACGGCUUACUCCGCUACGCUCUGGACGAAAUGCCCAGCACUCUUCCCCAGGGCACCAUCAAUAUGAACCAGUGCUCCGAUGUCAUCGACGGAGAGUCCAGGACGGGUCAGAAGAACUCCUUGUGCAUCCUAACCCCUGACAAGGAGCACUUCAUUCGAGCCGAGUGUAAAGAAAUCAUUAACGGAUGGCAGGAAGCUCUGACCGUGUACCCCAGAACAAACAAGCAGAAUCAGAAGAAGAAGCGCAAGGUGGAUCCGCCCACUCAGCAGCAGAGGGGGCAAUGGUUUUCCACCAAGGACAUGAAUGGACAUCCAGAACCGGGUCCGGCCAAGGUGACGGUGACUAGCGGCGGAGGCAGCAUCUCGUGCCUGCCCGGCGGCAUCGCCAGCGCCGAGCGCGUCCCGAUGAGCCGGGCCACUUUGUGGCAGGAGGAGAACCGCUGGAGUCGGGCCACCAUCCCCUGUAGCCGCAGCGCCUCCUGUCUUAGCCAGCUGGGCCAGAGCCAGCCCGACUCCACCGUCACGACUCAAGAUGAUGGCGGAAUGAUGAGCACUGGACGCAAAGUACGAGUGGAGAGCGGUUACUUUUCCCUGGAAAAAAACAAGUCGGAGCCUUCUCCAAAAUCCGCACAGAAUUCCCAACCAGCGCAGCCACCCCAGCAACUCCCCCUGUCCUCGUCCACCUCCUCCUGUUCCUUAGGAGCAUCCGGUCACAGGUACAACUCUGAACCCGAAGGCCAAAUUCCCCCCUGUCCCCCCUCCCCAGGAGCCCUCGCGUCCCCUAGCUACUCCACCGUCAGUUCCUCCCAGAGCUCCCUGGACUCGGAACCCAGCGGCGCCACCGCCGCCUGGGAGGUCCGCGGCGGAGGGAGCGACGCUUGCGCCAAUAGCAGAGGGGGUCGCGCAGGCAGGCAGUACGCGGCGCUUUCGGACGUGCCGCGAGCGCGCAGGAUGACCUACCGCGAAGCCUUCCGUGCGGAAAAGAAGCAACAAGAGCUAAGAGCGCGCACGCGGAGUCCCGGACGAGAAGAGGUGGCCCGGCUGUUUGGGGAGGAGCGCAGACGUUCGCAAGUCAUCGGCCGAUUCAAGGAGGAGCGGAUGGACACGAGCGGCUCCAGCGAACCGUCAUCAGACGUCACCCGCGUGCCGCGACAAGGCCGCAGCGAGAGACGUUAUCUGGCCUUCAAACCUGACACGUCGUCAUCGGAAGCCGGGAAUGAGCGCUCGGUCCCGGACGUGUCCGUCUCCACUUUUGCAAACUUAAGAAGAGCCAAAUCGCUUGACCGCAGAGUCACCGAGUCCUCCAUGACUCCCGAUCUGCUGAACUUCAAAAAAGGAUGGAUGACCAAGCUCUAUGAAGAUGGAAUGUGGAAGAAACACUGGUUUGUCCUCACAGAUCAGAGUCUGCGCUACUACAAGGACUCCAUAGCUGAAGAGGCUUCCGAAGUGGACGGCGAGAUUGAUCUUUCCACAUGUUACGACGUCAAGGAGUUCCCCGUCCAGAGGAAUUAUGGCUUCCAAAUCCUGUGUGCAGAAGGCGCGUGCACCCUCUCAGCCAUGACCUCCGGAAUCCGCCGCAACUGGAUCCAGGCCAUUAUGAAGAACGCUCGACCCACCGUCGCCCCCGACGUCACUCGGAAAAACAUCUCACUGAAACUAUCGGUUCUGAAGCCCAGAUCCGUCUCCGAGGAGAAAAUACAAACGCAGGUGCUGCUGGAGCCGUGUCAACAGGUCAAGCCCGAGCCGAGCCCCUGUCCCGGCGGGCCCCCCGAUACCGACGGCCCCAGGCAACCCACGGACAACGGGGCCUCCGCGCCUCCCUCGGAAGCGCGGAAAAGCAGAGUUCGCGAGCGCAGACGGGAAGGCCGCUCCAAGACAUUUGACUGGUCCGAGUUCAAAACCGAAAAGAAAGACAAGCCGGCCAACGAGCGAGCGGACACCGUCGACCACGGCUCGUCACUUUCCACCACCGCAUCCCGCUGCUCCGUUUCCCCCUCCCCAGUCCCUACCUCGGCCCUGCAAACCCGCCGUGUAUCGGACGCCUGCCCCGCCUCCACGACAGAAGAUAACAACGCGAGCCACUUACCGAAUCCCGUUCUGGUCACUUCCACCUUGAAUACCGUCUCUCCCGCGCAACCGUCCUUACCUGAUCGACAAGAGCAAGGGCGGAUGGAGGUGGACCGCAACGAAGAUGGGUCGGGCGUGAAGGAGGAGAUCGAGCAGCGGUGGCACCAGGUGGAGACCACACCGCUAAGAGAGGAGAAGCAAGUGCCCAUCAGCACCACGACACACAAUUCCGACGCUGACAGACUGCCCGCGCACGAGCUGGCUGCACUGCUAGACAAAGAGUUGGGGCAGAAGCAAAAAGAGCUGGACCAACUUCAGAGACAGAACAAUUUGUUAAAGGAGCAGCUGGAAGACGCGCUGGGAAGAGAGCAAAGUGCUCGAGAUGGCUACGUCCUGCAGAGUGCCACGCCCCCCACCUUCUCGCCAUGGCAACACUUGCACAAGCUAAACCAAGACUUGCAGGGCGAGUUAGAGUCCCAAAAGCGCAAGCAAGACCUCGCUCACCAGCAGAUCAAAACACUCAAACGGAGCUACACCCAAGCCCAGAGCGCCGCCGACCGCCACGAGGCGGAUAUUCAAGCCCUGCAGUCCAAGCUGGCGUCCGCCUUGGCUGAAAUCUCAGCCAGCGAACAAGCCGUGGCUCGUAUGCGCAAUGAGCUCAAGCUGGAGCAAGAGCGAUCCAAGGAGCAAGAAGAGGAAUACGGACGCAGCGAAGCCACCUUGCGAGCCCAGCUCAAAGACAGCGAAAGCAGACUCCGUGAGGUGGAGGCCAGCCUUUUAGAGAGGAACCAGGCCCUCCGGCAGCUGGAGCACCAGCAGGCCCUACAGCGAGACCACGUGAGAGAAAUCCAGAGGUUACAGGAUAAACUGCAAGAGGUGACCGCACGACUGGCCGCCACAGAAGAAGGGCAGGCGUUGAAGGACGAGCGCCUGAGAAAGGAGCAGCUUGGCCUUCAAGAAUGCCACGAGAGGGAAAGACAGAAUCUGUGCAGGAGGUUAGCUGAAGCGGAGAGCACGCAGAAGGAAAUGGAGGUCAGACUAGGGGAGGCCCAACAGCAGGUGGAGGCCCUGUUAAGGGGCCGGCGGGGCUCGGCGGCAAUCGAGCGCAAUGAGGAAUUGCUCAAGUUGCAGGAAGAGCUCACCCAAAAGAGCAAUACGUCGGAGGCCCUGAGAGAGAGCGUCCGUCGACUGGAAGAAGAGAGAGCUCUGCUCACGCGCCGUUGUCAGGAGCUCCUCAACCAGAUUGCCGAGGCGGACCGGGAGGUCAACAAACUCCGCGAGCGCCUCCGAGGCGAAGAGGCGGAUUAUUGCUCUCUGGAAAACUCGUACGAGAGGGCCACCCGGGAGUUUCAGAGGAUCAGCCAAUUCCUCCGGGAAAAAGAGGAGGAGAUCCGUCAGACUAAGGAAACGUACGAACGGCUGAUGAAGCGCAAAGAGGAGGACUUGAAAGAGGCUCUGGUUAAAAUGACCGCGCUGGGCAACAGCUUGGAAGAAACGGAACAGAAGCUCCAAGCUAAGGAGGAUCUUCUCUGUCGAAUGACGCAACCGGUCGAGCCCGGCGGCGCUGAGCAAAAUAUAAAAGCCAAGCUGGCGCUGGCGGAGAAUCGCAUCGCCGAACUGGAGCGGCACCUCGACGCGCUGCAGCUCGGCUACGCCGAUCUCCAACUGAGGAAGAAACACGUCCAAGAACAGAGCCCGCGAGGAAGUUUGAUUCCGGAUGAGGAGAGCCCGCCGUCCAAAACAGAGGACGCAGACGAGGAGUCCCGAGCCAAGAAACCGAGAAUCCGUUUUUCCAACAUUCAGUGCCAAAAAUAUAACUGCCCGGACGAUUGCCGUAACGAUGAUGUUAACCAGACAGACUUUGAUUCCACUCCAGCACUUUGCUCCCCCGAUACCGCCUUCCCGCAUCCCAGUGACUCCGAGAAGUUUAUCUCCAUCGUACGUGCCCUGGAAACUAAACUGCUCGCCACGGAGGAAAAGCUCAAAAAUCUCACUCGAAAUCUCCAGGAGCGUCGUUCCACACACGCCGAAGAUCAGAAGACGGUCCAAAAGGAGCCUUUAGGUUGCGACGACAGCGGCGGGCCUCAGAUAACGGAUCCUUACGCCAAGGCCCUCCUUUGCGUGGAAACCAGUCGGCAGAAAGUCAAGGCCUUUUUGUCGGGCUCUCACGAUAACUCUGAGUCACAGCUUCACUCCUUGUCACAAGUGGAGAAAGAACUUUUCAGCGCAUCGGCGUAUAUCCGCCACGGCCAGAAGACCUUGGAGGAACUGUCGCCGUCCGGCCCUCAAAUGCAGACCGAGGAAGCUUUGGAUCAAGAAGCAAUCCACCUCUUUGCCAAAACACUGUCUUUCGAAGCGCUCGUUCUGAAUAAAAUGGCCUCGCUUCUACAGACGUCUGAGUCGGACCUUCUCCAAACGCUGAGCGCCGUUUGGGAAGACGCGGAGGACAUUCAAAGCGCCGAUUGUUUAGCAAUCGUUUACGCCGACGUCCUGAGCAGAAAGUUGACGUUAGAGGCCGAAUUGCGGAAAGAGCCGGAGAGGGAGGCGACACCCCGGGACGGCGCCACAUCGCAAGACGUUACGGCUGAGCCGGACGUUAACGCCACAGCCGUCUUUAAUAGCGUCAUCAAAGCAGAAGUGUCCUACUCCAUUCAAAACCUGAAGCUCGGCUACGAAGAGAAAGUCCGGCUACUUCAAGGGCAGCUGGCCGAAGCCCACCGCAAACUCCGUGAAAGGGAAACGGCCUUGAAAGCCAUCAUCGAUGCGUCCAAGAGGUCCGAUUUAAAAAGCGUGAUCAAAGAAGUCAAGAGCAACUUUGGCUCGGGCAAACAAAAGUUAGCCGACAUCUGCCCGCCCGAACUGGCGCCGUACGCCGAGCAGAUCCAAUCGCAGGAAGCCCGCGACCUGGCCGAAAGAAUCGUCGAGCGCCAUCUGGACGGCGUCGACUCGGCCGAGUCUCUUCAAAGCGCCCAUCGCGGCUUGGCCGCCGAGCUUCGACAACAAGCGGAAAAGCUCCACGAGUACGCUCAAGAAAUACAAAACACCGGGAAGCACCCCGAGCUGGCCAAAAUGCUCUCUGCGCUUUUCGGGCCCGGGACAUCCCACCUUUUCACGAGCACGUCACUUUGCAUGCGCGAAGCUCUCAUCCAGGCUCAGGUGGCCUACGUGGCGUGCAGGUUGCGAUGGGCUCACCGACGAAACGUGGCCCGCUGCGAGCGGACGCAGCAGAGCAUGGACGCUCUGGUGCGGCAGCACGCCCGCAGCGUCAGGGCCAUUCAAGAGAAAUACCAAACAUCUCUCCAGCGGGAGCGCCACCACUUAGAGCAGGCCCUGGAGCAGCUCCAGAAGGAGAACGCCACCCUCAAGGAGGAAGUGGGCCAGCGUUCAACACAACUGUCAAAACAGCAAGAGCAGCUGGCCCAACUGGGGGAACAUUUUCAGAUCCAAGUGGAAGAGCUGGAGCAGAAGCACCGGGAAGAGCUACGCCGAGCUGAGAAAGACCACACCGCGACGGAGCUGGCUCUCUCGGAGGCGGCAGCGGACAGCCGGCAACAGCUGAAGGACCUGCUGGCCGACAUGGACGCCAUGAAGGAGCGGCACCAGAGUCACGUCAAAACGAUCCAGGCCGACUUUGAGCAGAGAAUCGCCGGGCUUCGGCGGAUCUACGAAGACCAGAUUGUCACCGUGCGGUCUCCGAUGGAAGAGGAGGAAGAAGGCGGGGCGGCCAAGUCCGAGGGGCAGACCGUGGUUCUUCUGAGGGACAGGAUCCAGGAACUGGAGACUCAGAUGAACACCAUGAGGGACGAACUGGAGAGCAAGCACCUGGAAGGAGAUGUGGCCAGCCUGAGGGCGAAAUACCAGCGAGACCUUGAAAGUCUGAAGGCCACGUGCGAGCGUGGCUUUACAGCGAUGGAGGAAACCCACCACAAGGUGGUUGAAGACCUCCAAAGGCAGCAUCAGAGAGAGAUCGCCAAACUGAUGGAGGAACGAGAGAGGCUCCUGGCUGAGGAGACGGCUGCUACCAUUGCUGCUAUCGAAGCUAUGAAGAAUGCACACAAGGAGGAACUGGAGAAGAACCAGCGCUCCCAGCUCAGCGGCCUCAACUCUGAUAUUGAUGAACUUCGAUUACAAUACGAGGAGGAGCUGCAGUCCAUCCAGAGGGAGCUGGAGGUUUUGUCCGAGCAGUAUUCUCAGAAAUGUCUGGAGAACGCCCACUUGGCUCAGGCCCUGGAGGCCGAGCGGCAGGCCCUCAGGCAGUGCCAGCGAGAGAACCAGGAGCUCAACGCUCACAACCAGGAAUUGAAUAAUCGUCUGAGCGCCGAGAUCACGCGGAUGCGCUCGUCUUUCAGCGGCGAGACGGCGCUGUCGCCCACCACGCAAGGCAAAGACGUCUACGAACUGGAGGUGCUGCUUCGGAUCAAGGAGUCCGAGAUUCAGUAUCUGAAACAGGAAAUCCACUCUUUGAAGGAUGAGCUGCAGUCGGCGCUCCGGGAUAAGAAGUACACCACGGACAAAUAUAAAGACAUCUAUACGGAGCUGAGCAUUGUCAAAGCAAAGGCCGACUGCGAUAUCGGAAAACUGAAGGAGAAGCUGCUCAUUGCCACCGAAGCGUUAGGCGAGAGGAGCGUGGACGGGACCGUUACUUCAGGAUACGACAUCAUGAAAUCCAAAAGUAACCCUGACUUCACGAAAAAAGAACAAACGACAACCUCCAAGCCAUCCAGGGGUGUCAGGUCAAAGUCUGUCACUGGACAGGUGUCGUGGGAUAGCUGACACUCCUCAUGCGGGUCUUAAGCCCUCCCCCAAAACCCGCCCGUGAGACACCAGCCUGAAAGAGGGACUGAGCGUGCAAGAGCGCAUGAAGCUGUUUGAGGCAAAAGAUUCCAAAAACAUCUGAAUACCACAACCCCGAAGCUUCUCCUCUCUUCACCGGCACUUGUUUUUAUAAUAUCCUUUUUUUUUGCCAUGAGCUCAAUUUAGGACAGGUGAGAGUGAAAGGUCUGCUUUCAAGACAAAAAGCCUCUGAUUUCCUAGAAGGCAAAAUUUUGCAUGUUCAACUAACAGUCUUACUGGACUGAACAAACAAGUCUCAUAGUAAAAAAAGAAAAGAAAAAUGGUCAUUUAAGUUGGGGAAGUGCAAAAUAAGCUGUGAGGGAUACAUGGCAGCAUUUUUAACCCCCCUUCCCAUAUGCCAAAAUAAAUUACACUCUGAAAUAAUAUAUACAGUAUAUAUUUCCUGACAUUAAUAAUUUGUCUGCUGUAAUUUAUUCUUAUUGUUACAAUUUCUAUAUCGGAAUGAUUUUAAUGUGUUUGGUGUACUUAACUACUUGAGAUUCAGUAUGUAAGCGUGUGGUUUGUUCUGUUGACUGAGGCAUCUGCUGUAAUAUCUAUUUGAGUUUGUGGAAUUUUUGUGAUGCUUAUAUAAGGUUUUGUAUUUUUGUUUUUAUAUCCAAUAAAUUGUCUGUGUGAUGGGGUAGGGAAAGGUUGAACAUGGCGAUUGGCUGACGCUUCAAUCUGGAAGUCGUCUGUAUUUCAGUUUGUGUGACAAUACAUGUUUGGCAUGAUUAUAUUGAGCACGCGGCCUCAACUUCCUAUUUUGACACUUAAGUGCGUAACUCUCGUUACAUAAGCUCUGCUUUGCAAGUCCUACUGUUUCACUGUUACUGUGAGGUGCAAUUCCCAGAAGCACUUGGCCCGACCCCUGACCUCUCAUUUGCAUUCUAAUUGUGCCUCAACCCAGUGGAAAAACACAAACCACUCAUAAUGAAUCCCAAUACAUAUUUAAAUAAACAGAAACGUGCAGCUAUUGAGACACACUGUAUAGUAUUGAAAUGCUUUUGAGAUAUAUAUAUAUAUAUACAUAUAUAUAUAUGUAUAUAUAUGAAAUAAAUGUUUGGAAAAUUCCAA